rnacentral:lncRNA from 10 species
GGUUGGAUAAUGGGAGCAGAUUUCUUUUUUCUUUUUUUUUGAGACGGAGUAUUGCUCUGUUGCCCAGGCUGGAGUGCAGUGCCACGAUCUCGGCUCACUGAAACCUCUGCCUCCUGGGUUCAAGCGAUUGUUUUGCCUCAGCCUCCUGAGUAACUGGGAUUACAGGCGUGCACCACAACACCCAGCUAAUUUUUUGUAUUUUUAGUAGAGAUGGAGUUUCACCAAGUUGGCCAGCCUGAUCUUGAACUCCUGACCUCAAGGGAUCCACCUGCCUCGGCCUCCCAAAGUGCUGGGAUUACAGGCGUGAGCCACCGCGCCUGGCCUGGGAGCACAUUUCUUAUUAAUGGUUUAGUACCAUCCCCUUGGUGCUGUCCUCGCAAUAAUGAGUGAAUUCUCACAAGAUCUGAUUGUUUAAAAGCGUGUGCUGCCUCCCCUCCUCUCUCCCUCCUGCUCCUGCCUUGCCAUUGACUUGCCUGCUCCCUCUCCACCUUCCACCUGAUUGUAAGUUUCCUGAGGCUUCCCUAGAAGCUGAGUGGAUGCCAACACCAUUCUUCGUGUCCAGCCUGCAGAAUCAUGAGCCUAUCAAACCUCUUUUCUUUACAAAUCACCCAAUCUGUUAUUUCUUUAGAGCAACGCAAGGACCGACUAAUAUAGUUGGGUUCUGUGAAGUUCAGCCACCUUGAAUAUAUGUGACUGAAUACACAUACCACUGAAUAUAACAUACACUUCUUCACAGACAGAGACAACCAGCAUUUGUCUGUCCCCUUUAGAAAUAUUAAUCAUAAUGUUAUAAUGUUGACUGUCCUGAAAGGGAUUGUGACAAAUUUUCUAUUUGUUACCUGUUUUUGGUUUGUUUUUGCUUUUUUUUUUUUUUUUUUUUUGACAGGUCUCGCUGUGUCACCCUGGCUGAAGUGCAGUGGCUAUUCACAGGCAUCAUCGUGAAUACUACAGCCUUAAACUCCUGGCCUCAAGUGAUCCUCCUGCCUCAGCCUGCUGAGUAGCUGGGACUGCAGGCACACACUACUGAGCCUAGAUUUGCUACCUGGUUUUUACUGGAAAUAGGAAAACACACGUAAAGCUCAUACUCCAUGGACCACGCAGGCUGGAGAGCAGCCCUCCAGGGCAUGUGCCCACAUCUGCCCAGUGAGUUGUUCAGGUACCUGAGUCAGGUGAAAUCAGCAAGGAAUUAGUGCAGAUAUGAUUGGGCAUGGUCAUUUUAGUUGAAGGAAGAGCAUGAAGAAAAACACUCUCCAGCAAAGGCAAAAAGUCUGAGCAAUGGUCUCAGAGCAAUGGACAGCAAUGGACAGAGAGCAAUGGACAAAUAGACAGCAGUGGGCAAAAAGACCAGAGUCCAUUAGGGAGAUGCAAAAGGAUGUCAAAUGUUGGCAAGUGGCUGAGGAUGGACCAUCCUGUCCUUAAUUUGGGGAGUCAAAGACCUGAUGAGGGGUCACUAAGCAAUAAAAGGCAAUAGAGGAUCAUUUUUAGAUCAGCACCAUCAGAGUCAGACAAAUCUCAACCCUACUUCUGCCUGUGAAUUUCUGCCAGCAGUAGGUUAACUAUUUACCUACAUGUCUGCAAACCACCUACACAUAUCCCCCAAAGUCUACCCUAAAUGUACGCCCAACUCAAUGACCCUGAGCCAGAUCCCCUAAAUGCCAUGGCCACUCCAGUGCCACCUGACCAGAAGGGAAGUGAGACAGAGAGACGUCUGAAUGGAAAGAAGCAGCAUCUUAACUGCUAAAAUAUCUAACUUUUGCAAAGUGUACAGAAGCAAAUGACCAUGGGAACACAUUGCUGUGGCUCCUGUAGCCCUCUGCACAUGGAAGAGGUGACAACUAUAGCCUGCAGCCUCCUGGCAGUAAGAGCUGGAAAGAUGUCCCUAGACCCCAGUCAUUUAGGAGAAAGGAGACCUAAGUGCUUCUUAGGAUAACUCUAGGCAGCCUGGGGAAGGAGAAGACAACCACCAACUGGUGAAAGUGAAAGGAAAAGAUGGGGGCUCCUGUGGAUAUGAGUCUAUUAAAUGCAACAAGCAUGCAUUGAGCAGCCUGAUGUGCACAUGCUGGACUCAAGCUUAAAAGGUGAAAGGUAGUCCCUGCAUUAUAGUGGUUGAAUCUAGAGCUUGCAAACUUAGACCCCACUGGAGGGCUGGAAAAAAACAGGACAAGCUAAAGAGGCAGGGACAAUGGCAAGUGCUUUGGUGUCUCUGGCUCUUGUCAAGUGUUGCUAAGUGAUGGGGCUGGUGUCAUGGGCAAGCCACCAGUACAGUUGCACAGGGCUCUGGGCUCAGAAGGGUCCCUCAGUUGGGUUUUACUGCUCUUAAUUUAAUUUAUUUUAUUAUUAAAUUUUAUCUUUGAGUUUGUGUUUUGUAAGUGAGGUCUGUUGAGACAAUAGAGCAUGCAUGGGGACUUGGAACCUCAGCUCCUCCGUGACUGUCUUUCAUCACCUCUCCAGUUCUUGGCCUCCUUCUUUUCACCCUCUGACUUCUCAGGCCCUAUCUAGCCUUCCUUUUCCUGCUCCUGCCCAGAAACAACUGCUGCUGCCGUUCCCCCUGGGUGUCAAUUAAGUCAAAUCACCAGGAUGCGCAAUAAGGGGGACCCAAUGUUCUUCCAUCCCUCUCUGCUUUCAGUGGGGAUCCAGGAGUAGGCACCAGGAGGGUUGGGGUCUCAGAGCAGGGCAAGACAGUGACCAUCCCCACCCUGAUCUGGGUGACUCAGUGCAGGUGAGCCUCGCAUUCACCCUCAAUGCAACUACUGAGUGUGAUUCAGGGUGGGAUUGCUGUCAGCAGUGGGUUAGGGCUGCAGGAUGGUGAGAAUGGGGAGCAGAGUUUAUGGGAUGGAUGACUCCACAGCUGGUGGGCCGUGCUCACGAGUGGACAAGUUCAUUGAGUCCCCCUGCACAAAGAGUCCCCUACAUCUGUGAGGGGCUGCACCAGCCCCAGAGAAACUGCACGCCCAAGAGGAGCAUGGCUAGCAAAUAGAAAGCACCAUUAUAGGUCCAGAGGCUGCAGAAGAAAGGGCAACGUUUUACAUGCUAGUACUUUAACAGCACUUUCCCCCUGCAUUUGGAACAGGGGGACUUGCAUUUUCAUUGUGCACUGGACCUUGCAAAUGAUGGAACCAGCUCUGCUCAGUGGGUGUCUCAGUCCCAUUAUGCUGCUAUAACAGAACAUCAUAAACUGGGUGCCUUAUUGUCUUAGUCCAUUCUAUGCUGCUAUAAAAGAAUACCAGAGACUGAGUAGUUUAUAAUGAACAGAAAUUUAUUGGCUCAGGGUUCUGGAGCUAGGAAUCCAAGAUUGAGGGUCUGGCAUCUGGUGAGGGCCUUCUUAUCACAUCAUAACAUGGUGGAAGGCAUCACCUGGAAGAAAGGCAAAAGAAAGAGCAUGAGAGACAGAAAAGGAGCCAAACUUGUCAUUUUAUAAGAAACUCACUUCCACAGUGACAAACCCACUCCCAUAAUAAUGGCAUUAAUGCAUUCAUUCCACCUUCAUGGCUUAAUCACCUCUCAUUAGUCCCCAUAUCCCAGCACUGUUGUAUUUGAGAUUACAUUACCAACACAUGAUUUUUUAGGGGACACACUCUAACCAUAGCAUCUAUAAACAAUAGAAUUUGUUUUUCUCAUGGUUCUGGAGGCUGGGAAGUCCAAGACCAAGGCAAUGGUAGAUUCAGUGUCUGGUGAGAACCCACUUCUUGGUUACUUCUUGGUUCAUGGACAACUGUCUUCUUCUGAGCCCUCACAUGGUAGAAGGGAUGAAGGAGCUCUCCUGCAUUUGGAACAGGGGGACCUCUUUUUUUUUUUUUUUUUUCCCAAAUACAGAUUGUUGCUCUGUCGCCCAGAGUUGGAGUGCAAUGGCGUGAUCUUGGCUCACUGCAACCUCCACCUCCUGGGUUCAAGCAAUUCUCCUGCCUCAGCCUUCCAAGUAGCUGAGAUUACAGGCACGUGCCACCAUCCCUGGCUAAUUCUUGUAUUUUUAGUAGAGACGGGGUUUUACCAUGUUGGCCAGGUUGGUCUCAAACUCCUGACCUAAGGGCAGUAAUCCCACUUAUUAGGGCUACAUUGUCAUGACUUAAUCACCUCCCAAAGACCUCACCUCCUAAUACCAUCACCUUGAGGUUUAGAAUUUCAGGGAAUUUUGGGGAGACACAGACAUUCAGAUCAUAGUAGUGGAAAUGCAAGUUGAGUGUUAGAUUUAUGACCUACCAAACAAAAGGAGUGAAACUGAAAUUCUUUGUAAAUUUCCUUAAUUCUAAAUGUCGGCAGUGGCUUUUUUGUUUUUGUAAUAUUGUACAAGCUACAAAUUCCAAUGACUAAGUUGUACUGAUAAUUUUAUGAUACAUAUGUGUCAGUCAGCUUUACCUGUUGAAAAGGUGCCUAUUCAUAUUUAUUGUCCAUUUUAAUUGUUUUUGUCUUUUCAACUUGUAAGUCAUUUUAUCUAUUCUAUUACCAGCCUUUUAUCUGUUAAAUGCAUUUAAAAUCUUAUUCUAUUUAUAAUUUUUCUUUUGACUGUGUUCCUUAUAUCUCUAACAAAUACAAAAAAUGUCAAAAACCCUGUUAAUUUUUCUGUAGUGAAACAGAUACUUCUUUUAAAGCCUCUGAGUUAUCUGCUUUUAAAAGAUCUCUACAACCUUUUUAAAAGAUCUUUCUAAAGAUCUUAAGAGAUCUUUUUAAAAGAUCUCUACAACCUUUUCUUAUAAAGAUAUUCUGCAAUCUAUUUUUCUAAGCUUAUAUUGUUUUAUUUUUACAUUAAAAUGUUUAAUAUACCCCAAAUUUAUUUUUGCAUAUGAUGUGAAGUAAUGCUGACUUUAUUUUCUUUCAAAAGGAGAGUCAGUUUUUCCUAUACCAUUUCUAAAAUAAUUAUUUUCCGCUGAAUUGGAGCUUUGCCUCUGUUAUAUACUAAAUUACCUUGCCUACUAGGAUUUCUUUAUGGACUCUCUGUUGGUCCACUAAUGAAAACCCUAAUGAUUCUCAUGGCUUUAACCACCCUCUCUAUUAAAUUGACUAUAUUCACAUAUAUAUACACACACACACACACACAUACAUACACAUAUAUUUAGCGUGUACAUACAUACAUAUAUAUAUAGGGUGUAUAUAUAAUUAUUUAUAGAUAAUACACACACACAUCUGGAAGGAAUCUCCAAAUUGGCCAUUCCAAUUCCUUCUUUUUACAAACAAGACCUGAGGCCUGGAGAUGGUAGGUGAUGUAGCCAGGAGGCAGAACUGAGAUUCAGCCUAAAGACCUCUUCAGCAAGGCACUUGUUCUACGACUUCACAGUGCCUCUCACCAGAGAGGUGUCCUUAAACACACAGAAGAGUUAAGAACUUUCAACCUGUGCUCUGCAAUGACUUUUCUUGACAAGAGUAUAUAGAGCUACUUUUAGCUCUAUAUCUCUAUAUUCUAUUUGGGCCCCAAUAAUUGGAAAUCGAUAUAAUUUCUCACUGUCCUGAACUGUAUGUUUAUGAAUGCCAG